rnacentral:rRNA from 1 species
UACAGAGGGGGCAAGCGUUAUUCGGAAUUAUUGGGCGUAAAGGGCGCGUAGGCGGCCAGGCAAGUGGAAGGUGAAAUCCCUCGGCUUAACCGAGGAACUGCCCUCCAAACUGCUUGGCUUGAGACCGGGAGAGGUGAGUGGAAUUCCCAGUGUAGCGGUGAAAUGCGUAGAUAUUGGGAGGAACACCAGUGGCGAAGGCAGCUUGCUACACGGUAAUUGACACUCAGGCACGAAAGCGUGGGGAGCAAACAGG